UGGGGAAUCUUGGACAAUGGGCGCAAGCCUGAUCCAGCCAUGCCGCGUGGAUGAUGAAGGCCUUAGGGUUGUAAAAUCCUUUCGCCGAGGACGAUAAUGACGGUACUCGGAGAAGAAGCUCCGGCUAACUUCGUGCCAGCAGCCGCGGUAAUACGAAGGGGGCUAGCGUUGUUCGGAUUUACUGGGCGUGAAGCGCGUGUAGGCGGGUCGUUAAGUUGGGGGUGAAAUCCCGAGGCUCAACCUCGGAACUGCCUUCAAAACUGGCGACCUGGACCUAAGUAGAGGCAAGUGGAAUUGCGAGUGUAGAGGUGAAAUUCGUAGAUAUUCGCAGGAACACCAGUGGCGAAGGCGACUUGCUGGACUUAUGGUGACGCUGAGACGCGAAAGCGUGGGGAGCAAACAGGAUUAGAUACCCCCGUAGUCCCUGAGCGGGCUGGCAAGGCGCAU
rnacentral:rRNA from 1 species